rnacentral:rRNA from 1 species
CAAUAGCGUAUAUUAAAGUUGUUGCAGUUAAAAAGCUCGUAGUUGGAUUUCUGGUAGGAGUGACCGUGCCAGACUUGAUUGUCUGUGUAUUGUGUUGUCUCCAGCCAUCCUUGUGGAGAACUUUUCUUGCAUUAAUUUGUAGGGAUUGGGACCCGCAUCGUUUACUGUGAAAAAAUUAGAGUGUUUAAAGCAGGCAAUCGCUUGAAUACAUUAGCAUGGAAUAAUACGAUAGGGCUUUGGUACUAUUUUGUUGGUUUGCAUACCAAAUUAAUGAUCAACAGGAACAGUUUGAGGAUAUUCGUAUGAACAUGUCAGAGGUGAAAUUCUUGGAUUUUGAUCAGACGAACUACUGCGAAAGCAUUUAUCAAGGAUGUUUUCAUUAA